CACCAUGUUGGCCAGACUGGUCUCAAACUCCUGACCUCAUGAUCUGCCCGCCUCAGCCUCCCAAAGUGCUGGGAUUACAGGCAUGAGCCAUCGUGCCUGGCCGUAGGUUGGCAUUUUAAGCUCACACAAUCCUACCAAGGUGACAGUGACUCUCCUUAUGAUAGGAUUGUGGGUCUGAGAGAGCUGUUGUAGCCUUUUACUCUCUCCAGUCAACAAAGAUUGGCAACUACAGGGUUACUCUCUUUGGAGUUUCUUUUCUCCUGUCUGCCACGUCUACAGACUACUGCUUGUUAAUGUGACAUGUAUGUAUUUUCUUCUUUGGCUUUGCCCCUCCUGCCACUGUACCAGACAGAAUCAAGGAAAUCCCCUACUACUGACACUCAUCCCAUUUCCAUUGUUUUAGAGAAGGAACUAGUUGUUGUUGUUGUUGUUGUUGUUGUUGUUUCCGUGUCUCAGAUUAUGUCAUCUAUUUUGGAGUAUUUUGGUCUAAUGACUUUGGCUGCAAUAUGGGGCUAUCUGACUUUUAGUGCACCUGGCAGCUCUAUCUCCUAUUGUGCGGUUGAGGUUAAAGUGUCUUCUAGUUCUGUUGAAGAUAGUUUAUGUUUCUUUUCAUAUUUGAUGAUAAUUUUUUAAAUUAAGACCUGAUUUCUCCUUCAUUUGCAAACUGGAUAUCACUACUAAUAUUCUUUGACAAGAAGGAAGAGGAGGAGGAAGAAGAACAAAAGAAGCCUGCCUCUCUCUAGACUGCCCAUCUCAAUUAUAUUUUAAAAAUGAAGUUAAUAUCUGUCCUGCCUACAGUAGUGUUGUCAGAAUCAAAUGAAAUAAUAUUUGGUAAACUAUAAAAUGAAGACUGAAUUUGAAGGACUAUUUGUUUUCUUUUGUUGUAAUAGAGUUGUAUAUAGUCCAGAUGUCAACCAGGCCUCUUCAGCAUUUUUAUAGUCAAAGAUGUUCGAGAUAACUCCUAAUGCUCUUUUAUGGCUGCUCCUGUUGCCAGGGAAACAGCCUGCCUAGUAACAAUCUAACAGGCACCCCCCACCAACCAAAAAAAUAAAGGUUAUUGUAGCAUCUUCCCCUUUUAAAAAUCUUUAAAAUAAGAGAAUUCAGUUCUUCCCAAAGCAGUGUUUAAAAAAAUAAAUAAAGUAUUUAAACAAAAUCAAGGAUACCCUCCCACCCAUCUAUCUUACAUUGUGUGGUAUGAGUGGCACCAUUUUGUGACCCAGGUAGGAUAGUGGAUGUACAGUUUAGAUACCCAUUUUAAAGCAGUUAGAAAGAUGUAACUUGACAAGGAAAGCAGUCUCUUUUGUCAUUCUACAUGUAGUGCUUCAGGAGUACUUGAUACAUGGAAGGAUUUUUUUUUAAGAAAAAAUGAAUAUGCCUCCGGAAAGUAUUUUGCUGCUUUUAAGAGCCAUAGAUUUGUCUUAAGUUAAUAAAUGCUGAAUAGAAAGCCUGAUGAUAAAGGUGGGUAGGUGGGUGGAUGGAUGAAUGAAGGAAAAAUGAGGAGAAAAGAGAAAGCAGAGGAGGGGUGAGACAGAGAACAAAAGAACACAGGCUCUACUGUUAUCAAAAAGCAGCCUCACCAAUGUGCGGGGAAUAAAUUGGAAGUCAGAUCAUUAAGACUUUUUUUCAUGCCACAUAGAAAGGCUGAUUUGUCCUAUAAUGUCUGUACUCAAAAGUCAUGACAAUAAAAUGAGACCUAGGAGUCCCAAGUGUUAUUAACUACCACAAUUUUGUAUAACUGAUUCUUCACUGGUCAUCCAGAAGUCUUUUUGAAAGUCCCAUUGCCACACCUGCCUCCUCAGUGAAAUAGAUGUAAAACCCACAAAGAGAGAAUCAAUGAGCCACACUCAUAUAGGAAGCAAAUAGAGUUGACUUCACCAGUGGAAAAUGCAAUUUCUUUUCAAAGUGAAAACUGAUCGAUUCACAACUCAAGGAAAGCAUGGAGUAAUUUCAGAACUCCAGUAAGAAGUGAUAAAUGUCUAGUUUGGAAUCAUGUGGCUGAAAAUCUUACCAUAUGCUUUCCACAGGCUGGGCAAGAGGAUAGAGCAUUGAAUAGAUGCUUUAAUUCCAUUUUUGACAAUGAAGCUUAUGCUUGUGAAAAUAUUUAUAUUUAACCGUGAGGUUAUGAUGAUUUUUCUCUACAUUUUUUGAGAAGCCUCUUCAGAAAAGAGCAAAGUAGUCUGCUCUAAUGGAUAGAAUAAGGAGUUGGGAAAAAGGAGACCUGGGUAUUAAUCUCAGCUCUACCACUACAUAUCUGUGAGACCCUAAAAUCUUUACCAUUCCCUCUACUAUUCCUAGCUCCCUUUUCUUUCACAGUCAACAAGUGUUUUUUGAACAAUUAUUUAGGUAAAUAAUAUACCUUAAAAGUUAGUACUGAUUCCCAUUAUCACACUCUGUUGUUCCCCAGAUGCUCUUUUGAGGAAUUGACUUGGUUAAUACAGUUAAUAUUAUGAUACUUAUAAUAAUAAUUUUGAGAAUUAUCAGCAUGAGACAAUUUAUUUGCAUAAUAGCUUUUUGUUAUUAUCCAGAAUACAUUUAGUUCUGGAUUUUGUUUGAUAUUGUGAAUGCAAACUUUUUUUGUAUUAGCCUAAAUAAAAUGAAAUGCAGUUAUAGAAAUAUUUCUGCUGCUAGAAAAAAAUUACAUACAGCCAGUAUACAUAUUUAGAGGUUCUGUAGUCUUCUAGACUGUAAAGGUAGAUGGCCAUGAGGGGAAAUCUGAGUGUAUAGGAUGUGUUUCGUGUUCCCACUGUAUAUGCGUUAUUACCCUUGUCUGAGUGGUUGUUUAAACUGUCAUCUGUAAAACUAAUCUGUAAAAUGAGAUCUGGGUUCUGACCUAUCUCUUACAGUCCAUAAUGUUGUGAUUCUAAGAAUAUUUCAUUCCUUAUUGCUUUCUGCCCUCUAUUCUGACCAAUGCUGUAACCACAAAUAAAAACAUUACUUGCCCUAUGAGAAAGAAUAGACCUUAUACUCAUUUUAACAGUUUAUUAUAACUCAUUUUGACCACUCCCCCCUCAAAAAAAAAAUGUCCCUAGAAAACUAGUGUGACCAUAGGGAUCAGAUGACCUCAUGUUACUGGGUGAAACCAGGAAGCUACCAUAUACAUAGAAAAGUUGGUUGCUAAGUAUGGUGUGGGAAUUUGGGAGGAAUUUAUCUGCUCAAAAACUCUCACCUACUUACUAGAUCUAGUGUUUGAAAUGUUAGCCUUGGAGAUUCUCCCUUAAAAAUAUCAUUGAGAAAGCAAAGAGAAUUCCCAGGUAAACGUAUAGGUAGCCCCUUCUAAAAUGCAAAUGCCCUUUGAAGGCUGGCUUUAUUAAUCUGGCCAUUAACCCCCUAGCUAAUCAUAUGCACUUCUCACAGUGACCUGAAAACAGACAUUCCUUCUCUAAAUGUGUGCUGAAUGUCAGUUGUAAACCAGUUACUACACUAAGCCCUGAUGAUACAAAUAUGAAAAAUCCUGUUUCCAGGGAAUUUACUUUCUAAUGAGGAACCAAAGUGCUCAAAAGCAGUCAUAAAUUUCACAGCAAAAUAACCCACCUAAUUAACUGUUCCAUUACAAACACUUGGAAAUCUAGAUAAAAUAUUUAUUUUGGAAAUAUAUGUUACAGGUGAAAAAGCAAGAAUUAAAACUAGUUAUCUGAAUGUAAAAGGAAUCAACAGCUAAAUCAAGCUUGAAGUCUUCCUGUCCAAGGGAUAUGAAAGCGUUAUAAGAAUUCCAUGAGCACCUAGGAAUGAUGCAGUUUAAAGUGCUUAAACGGGUAUCAUGAACUCAUCAAGAAAAUGGGACUGAACAUCAAUCAAGAGAUCCUUCAAAAGGCUACUAAAAUUUGCUGGAUUUACAAAUAGAAAAUGUUAUCUUUAAGUUGACCUUAAAUGCUCACAGAGUUUGAAUUUGUAACUUUAGUAAAUUAAACAUUUUAAAAGAUAGACUACUCUCUAAUCUUUUUUGUGUCCCUAAACUGCCCUUGAGGCCAUUUAAAAAACAUUUAAUAGUCACCUCCCUUCUGCUCCAGUUUGGGCCAAAUGCUCUCUAAGUUGCUUCACCUAAUUUCCUGUCUUACUUCAUGUGUUUUUUAGAUUCUCUGCCCAUACCUUCCUCUGAAUUACAUGGCCACAGGGUCACAGUGUUUUUCCAAGAAGGAGGAAGGGUAAGCCUAGAAACCACUGAUGUCCCUUACACAGCCUUUCAUUCAAGCUCCAUCCCACCCUUGCUUCCCACAGUUACCGUAUGCCCCAAGCCUUUAGGCAUUUCUUGGAAGGGUCAGUUUGCUUUUCUUUGGUGUCCCUGUCUGCCGUGUCUUUGGUUGCAGUUGCCUCUGCUCUUUACAUUCAUUAUCACAAUGUGGUGAGCUUUCUACUUUCCAAAAAUUUGUUGACAUCCCUCAUGUGAUAUUAUUUUUAUUCAUAUUCUCUUUAUAGCUUAUUCUUAAUAUUAUUUUUUUUCUUGGUUUAUAGUGGUUUGGAAGGAAGUAUAGAUAAACUACACAAGUUCAACCUUCGUUUAAUGGGAAAUCUUAUUUUUUUUAUAAUGUGUAUAAUAGUCCAUUAAGUGAUGUACUGUAAUUUGUUUAAAUGUCCCUUAUCGUAGAGCACUUGAAUUCCUUCCUUCCCUCCCCUCCCCCACACCCCACUGUUUGUUUUCUUCUGAUACAUUAUUUCAUCUCAGUAUAUCACAAGAGGUAGAAUUAUGAGGUGAAAAGCUAUAAAAGGAUACAGUGUAGAAUAGUAGAAAGAGUGUGGGCUUUGAAGAUACUGCAAUUCAACUCCUAGUUGUGCUAAUUGCUAACUACAUGAUAACCAAUUUAUUUUUUUUUAAAUCUACCUGAGUCUCAAUACUCAAAUUCUAGGUUAAGAGACAAUAUUUAUUCUCAAAAAUAUUCUGCAAAGUAAAUUAAGUAAAAUUAAAGGAAAUAAAUAAAAUUUAAAAUAGCUGUAAAUAUGGCUUAAAAUAAUAAAAAGGAAAGUAGACACCAUGAUGUCAACAUCCUGUUCUGUAACUUCCUUAACAAACUUAUAAUUCCACAUUUACCAUUUCUACCCUUGAAAAGUCUCAAGAUUUGUAAAACUGCUAUGUAUCAAAUUACCUCUAAGUUUUCUCAAAUGGCAUACACCCCAAGCUCUCCAGGCUAAGCAUCUGAAAGUUGAACAGUGCUUUUUGCAUCUAACUAGAGCUUAACAAUUGGUAUUAUAAUAAAAAUGAGUUAUCUCACUAACAGUCUUUUGUAAUCCGUAUAUAAAGUUAUUUUACCUUUCUGGAAUCUUGCCAGCUUUUAACUAUGACAUUGAACUAGUAUGAAUGAGAAGAUAGUUUCAUUGACUCAUUGUUCUACUUGUAUUACUAAAAAGCUAAUUGCCAAAACUGCACAGAAUAUACUCCUAGCUUUGUUUCUGUUUUCAGUUGAAAGAGACUAAUUUGUAACAAAAUCUGUUUGGAUUGAAACAUGACAAACUUUUGAUUCCUGAUUUAUUAUUAGUUUUUAAAUACAUGGUAAGUU